rnacentral:rRNA from 1 species
CCUACGGGCGGCAGCAGUGGGGAAUAUUGCACAAUGGGGGGAACCCUGAUGCAGCGACGCCGCGUGGGUGAAGGAGUACUUCGGUACGUAAAGCCCUAUCAGCAGGAAAGAAAAUGACGGUACCUGACUAAGAAGCCCCGGCUAACUACGUGCAAGCAGCCGCGGUAAUACGUAGGGGGCAAGCGUUAUCCGGAUUGACUGGGUGGAAAGGGAGCGUAGACGGCAGUGCAAGUCCGGAGUGAAAGCCCGGGGCUCAACCCUGGGACUGCUCUGGAAACUGUAAAGCUGGAGUGCGGGAGGGGCCGUCGGCCUUCCUGGUGUAGCGGUGACAUGCGUAGAUCUCAGGAGGAACACCGGCGGCGCAGGCGGCCUGCUGGACCGUAACUGCCGUUGCGGCUCGACAGCGUGGGGAGCAAACAGGAUUAGAUACCCUAGUAGUC